rnacentral:lncRNA from 1 species
CCAGCUGAGUGAAAAAAGUAGCAUACGCUCAUUACCGAUACAUAUAAAAAACAAAAAUUAUACAUCCAGAAAUGGACCAGGGGAUUCUUCAGCUCUCAACCGGUUGCACAACAUUGGUGUGUAGGAGACAGGCAAGUAUAAGGCAAGCAAUAAUAGUAUCUGCAAAUCCAGGAUAGUACUUGUUACUGCAUCCUUAAGAAUUCUCAUACAACAUCAUUCCAAUUGUUGAAAAAGAUUCAAUAAAAUUACAUCUAUAAGCAUGAUUUGCUAUUUAUAACAUAGAUACUCAUAUUAUAAACAACAUCUGCACUUAGUAAUCACAAGUAGGCUAAAAAAAAAUCAGAAUCAUACACGUAUUCAUAAACAGAUACCCCACAUGUUCAUAAGCAAUUUUUUCUCUCCUCUAAAAAACAACCACACCAUAAUAUCUUAACCUACAAUGUGCUUUCAUAAAAUUAGUGAGUGAACCAAAGACAACACACAGCCAGUUUGGUAUUCAUAUACUCAGCAAAAAAAAAAAAUCUCAGCUAACCUCAUAACGGGACACUAUAAAGCUAUUUUUUCCAACCUAGUUUCCAUUGCGUCAAAACCCAUCACACCCAAACGAACCAAUGGCUGACCCAAAUCAGAAUGGAUAAGAGAAAGCCAUACAUAUCCUCCAUAAUCGGCGCUGGGAGAAGCCGUAAGCUUCGCCAGAGACGCGUGCGUGAGCCAUUCGGUCUCACGAAGAAGAAGGAUGGUCGAGUUCUUACAUAUGUUUGAGGGGUAUGGUGAGAGAUUGGUGAAGUGCCGGAGGCCUUGCCGGCAUGACGACUGGAGAAGAAGAAGUUGGGUCUGCCCUCGUGGCCCCUUCGCUACAAGACGCGACUACUACAAUGAUGACCAGAGCCUCGCCAUUCGUCUUGGCUUUGGACGGCAGCGCCGACGCCUUCCCCCACUAGAGCUCAUCGUUAGGAUCUUCAUGGAGGUGCGUGCUCCAAACUCAGAACCCUUACUCCUCAAUUUUCCUAAUCCCUAACCUAAAAAAUGAGAACUCAUACUUAGCAAAAUGAGAACCCCAACUUUCCUAAGCCUUUUCUUUUUUGGCCCUCUUCCGUCUAAAUAAAAUCCUACCUAAAC